GAUGAACGCUGGCGGCGUGCCUAAUACAUGCAAGUCGAGCGAACGGACGAGAAGCUUGCUUCUCUGAUGUUAGCGGCGGACGGGUGAGUAACACGUGGAUAACCUACCUAUAAGACUGGGAUAACUUCGGGAAACCGUAGCUAAUACCGGAUAAUAUUUUGAACCGCAUGGUUCAAAAGUGAAAGACGGUCUUGCUGUCACUUAUAGAUGGAUCCGCGCUGCAUUAGCUAGUUGGUAAGGUAACGGCUUACCAAGGCAACGAUGCAUAGCCGACCUGAGAGGGUGAUCGGCCACACUGGAACUGAGACACGGUCCAGACUCCUACGGGAGGCAGCAGUAGGGAAUCUUCCGCGAUGGGCGAAAGCCUGACGGAGCAACGCCGCGUGAGUGAUGAAGGUCUUCGGAUCGUAAAACUCUGUUAUUAGGGAAGAACAUAUGUGUAAGUACCUGUGCACAUCUUGACGGUACCUAAUCAGAAAGCCACGGCUAACUACGUG
rnacentral:rRNA from 1 species